AACUUUCAACAAAGGAUCUCUUGGCUCUCGCAUCGAUGAAGAACGCAGCGAAGCGCGAAAUGUAGUGUGAAUCGCAGAACAUUGUGAAUCAUCGAAUCUUUGAACGCACAUUGCGCCUCUCUUAACAGGGAGGCAUGCCUGUCUGAGUUUCAUUU
rnacentral:rRNA from 1 species